GGAACACCUGUUUAGUAUUUUUAUAACUGAUACGGAUGGAGUCUUAGCUGAUAGGUUAAAAAUGUAAAUCCCCUCACAUAUGGCAUAUAUCUUCGCAUUGGUCCUCUCGUUCCUAUUUCUGAUUUGAGCAACAUUUUGAUUGAGGACAUCACCGCUUGAAAUGAAAAGCCGAAUUAUUGGCCUGGAGUCUGUGGUAACUGCGAUGUUGUGACUCUCCUAUUAUUUAUCCUGGAUAGAGUCAGGAAAAUUAUGGCCAUCCCCUUCAUGUAAAAUUUCUGCCAUGAAAAUAAGAUAAUUGCAAUGGUGAUCAAGCAUCAGAACCUGUGAAAAUCUGGGAAUAAAGGCAACAGAACAGAUUCUCCCAGCGACUUGUUUCUUUUUUUUUCAGAUGAGAAAAUUGAGAUUCUAUAAUUCACAUGUACUUAAAUGUAAGUGAUAACAAGGAUUUGGCCGGAAAUAUUAUCUAAGACUAAGCUUCCCAGGCAGGAGUGGUGGUGGGUGGGUUGCAGAGUCAUCUGGGGGUGGGGAUGGAUGGCAGUGAGGCUUCUACACAAACCCACCCCCAUCUUAGAGCUCCCCUUCUUCCUCCUAAGCAGCCCAGGGAAAUUCCUGGGCCAGGGAUGAAUCUGAGCCACAGCUGCAGCAACGCUGGAUUCUUAACCCACUGCCGGGCGGCAAUUCAAACAGGCGCCUCCACAGGGACAAGCUGGAUCACUAACAGCACUGGUCACUGCGGGAACUCCCCAUCUUAUAGCUUUGAUUUGAGGUUAGUUCAAAGCCCUUUCAAGGAGGGUGAGAGAUUUUUAUGAAUAUUAAAAUCAAGUGUUAUUAACCUUUAAAAAGAUUGCGAAACAAAGCUGCACAGGUUAAUUUCUCUAAAAAAGACUCCGUUUCGAAUUGGUUUCAGCCCUGGAGCGGGAGGGUUGUGUCUUUAGCCCCCCUCAGAAAGGUGUGCGAAGGGGACGAAGUCACUUUGCCCGCUGAGACCAAUGCCACCGGCAAAAGCUUUGCAGCCCACCCUGCUCCGCCCCAGGUGAGGGCCAUCUUCUCCCCACCAACCACCCGAACCCAGCUGUUCCUGCUCUGCCUUGCUUCUCCGUCUCCUCUCCCCCACCCUUCGAUCUUGUAGAAACGCCAUCCUCAUGCAGGUAUUUUUCCCAGCGAAAUUUUUCUUUCUAACGCAUGGAUACGUUUCACAGAAGAUGAACGAACGCGAGUCUCUCCCGUUUGCGUGAAGUGAUUAGCCGUGCGUGCUGGAAAAAACCGGUUCUAUUUAAAAGGAGAAAUAUUUAGAGAGCAGACGUCCUUCGCCGCUUCCUUCUCCAACUGUUCUCAGAAAGCAAGAAAACAGCAGCGGUGCUCGCCUCUGGUUCAGGGCUGUGACCCGCCCUCCUCCCCCACCACGCUCCUUCCUUAGCUACAAGAACAGGUUAUCAAGGCGAUAAUAAGCGAGAAAAUGUUCCAGCCUUGUCUUAAGCCUCAGCCACAUCGCACUGCUUAAAAGAGGUUAAAUGCUUCUGUGAACCCGUGUUUUCCACCCCCGGCCAGGCCGCCCUAAGCCAGGCUGAUCCGGCCUGCCUCGCCCCUGCUCCGCAAGAGACUCGCGGUGCGGGAUGAUUGAGGUGGCCUCAGCCUCCCGGCAGCCGCUGACUGGCACUUGGAAAUUCAAUCCUCUCAAGGAGGCAGCAAGAGCCCACAGUAGAGUCCAUGCGCCUCUGAAAGCCUGAUUAAAUGUGUUGGGGCGCACAUGGGAUAUUUUACUCUGGAUAUUAUUUAUAAUGAGACAGGAGCAUCUUGGGGGGAAUGGAAAUGCAUUAAACCCGAACACUUAAUGGAUGAUCUUUUACUUCUCGAGAGGCUGCGUGUUGCUGUGUGGACGCCAGCCGCUCUGGAAAGCUCCCUGAACGCUUCUGGAAGGAAUCUGCUGUAUAUGUACACAUGAAUUAUGUAAACAUUUAUGCUUACAACACUGAAUGUCUACUAUGUGUGAAAAAAUUGUGGUGGUGACUUUGCUUCUGAGUUAAUACAGCAAGCCAUUAACCUCUGAUGACUAAAAGUGAAGUGUUCUUUUCCUGUUGUUGUGAAGGCUGCUGUCUAGUUGAGUUGCUUCUCUAGCGAGAACAGUCAGUGUCAUUAAUUUUUUUCUCCGUGUGGGCUGAGGAACACGAAGCUGACUUGAUUGAUCACAUUGCCACUUCAAAACAGGAGCCUUCAGAGCCAGGUUGGAGAGUCAGGUCUUACUGAAGGGCUGGAGCAGUGGUGUCUGUGAUUGUCAGUUACCAGCAGCUGGGAGGACUCUGGCAAAUGUGCAGACGUGAGCUCGAUAUAUGUCUAUGAAGCAAAAGAUGAGAAACAACCCAAAUGCCCAUCAAUAGAGACGGCUGGUGAAAUAAAGUGUGGCACAUCCAUUUAAUGAAAUACAAUGGAGCGGUAAUAAAGGACGGAGGCGCCCAGCACACUGAUAAGAAGAGAUGGCCGAGAUUCACUGUUGAAUGAAAAAUAAAAGCCACAGGACAGUGUGUAUACCUUAUCAUUCCUGCUGUCUUUUGUACAAAAAAAAUGUGGUGGGGGAAUAAGAAUCUGUACCCUUAUUUACUUGUAUAUAUUUUGAAAAAAUAACCCUGUCUGGAAUGAUACCUUAAAACAAACAAACUAAAAAACAACCCUUGUAACAGUGAUUGUUGUGAGGUGGGAAGUGGUUCGCUGGGGAGAGAGAUUUUACCAUGUGUUUUUUGGUCACCAUUUAUCUAUUUAUAUAUAUUUUUUACAUUGAAAAUUAGCUUUUCAUUUAAGUACAGCAUAUAUUCAAAACAUGACAAAGAACCUUAGUCUUCAGCUCAAAGGGCUCAUCUGUGUAGUUAGCAUCCACAGCUGGAAAUAGCUCAUACCUAGGCAGUCCCCCUGAUGCUAAGAAUCUCCUUUCCUUUAGGUGCCCUCCAGCCAUGACCUGCUCCUGCUAUCAAUUCUUGUUAAAAACUAAUCUUAAAAAGAAGUAAAAUCAUGACUCUCAUACAAAUAUAAAAUGUGUAUGGGCCCACCAUUUUGUUUAACUCAUUAACAAAUGAGGAAACUGGUAAAUUAAAAAAUGACAAAAAAAAAAAACCCCAAAAACAAAACAGGCCCUGAAACGGUUCAAAGAGAAUCCAAAGAACAGAUACAUGUAUAGCCAAUAAGGAAUGUGGGAAUGAAUUAGCUAAGAAAUGCAAAAUUAGCCAAUCUCUAGUGGGCAGUAAUCAAUUACUCUUCACCUGACAACAUUCAUUUGUGCAUGAGAAUGUACAAGAAUAAUUUGUAUUGCUAGCCACUGUGUACAAUUUAUAGAGCUAUAAAGUGGCUCAAAGGCAAUGAAAGGGUCUGGCCCUGGUAGAAUCUGGUAACCCAGAAGGGUGCAUUGGGCAAUGCCCAUUAUUUCACUGAAAAGACACCCAGUAAUUUUUUUUUUGCACCUUCAAAUUCUUUCACUAUUUUUUCUGAAUUUUUGUGUGUUAAUUCUGCCUGGUUUUGAACAUUGUAUAAAUAGACUCAUACGUAAAAA